GAUGAAGAACGUAGCGAAAUGCGAUAAGUAAUGUGAAUUGCAGAAUUCAGUGAAUCAUCGAAUCUUUGAACGCACAUUGCGCCCGCCAGUAUUCUGGCGGGCAUGCCUGUCUGAGCGUCAUUUCAACCCUCAGCCCCCGUUCGCGGGGCGCUGGCGUUGGGGAUCGGCCGUCCUUGCGGCGGCCGGCCCCGAAACACAGUGGCGGUCUCCCGUAGACUCCCCUGCGUAGUAACACUACCUCGCAGAAGGGACGAGCGGGCUGGCCACGCCGUAAAACCCCCCACUUCUCAAGGUUGACCUCAGAUCAGGUAGGAAUACCCGCUGAACUUAAGCAUAUCAAUAAGCGGAGGA
rnacentral:misc_RNA from 1 species